rnacentral:rRNA from 1 species
AUUGCGCUGCUUCUAAUCGUCCUCUUAGGACAAUUAUUGACCAUUUGACCUCAAAUCAGGUAGGACUACCCGCUGAACUUAAGCAUAUCAAUAAGCGGAGGAGG